GCGGGCGUGGCGGAACUGGUAUACGCGCAGGACUUAAAAUCCUGUGUCUAAGUGACAUGUGGGUUCGAGUCCCACCGCCCGCACCA
rnacentral:tRNA from 2 species